rnacentral:tRNA from 3 species
GGAGCGGUGGCUGAGUGGCUUAAGGCAGCGGUUUGCUAAACCGUCAUACGGUUUUUCCGUAUCGGGAGUUCGAAUCUCCCCCGCUCCGCCA